GUGGGCGGCCUCACUAGACAGGAUGGAUGGCCCGCCUCUCCCACGCCCAUCCGCCCACUGCCCACCACGCCCACGGCCCACACUGCUCCCUUCCACGCCGCCCUCAACACACCCAGCGGCUUGCACAACCUCAUGGCAAGGUUCGGAGGCCUCCAGAGAGCUGGCCAGAGUGAAGCUUGUGUUAUAGAGGAACAGCUGCUGAUCAUCAAGCUUAUUGAGUGACUGGAGGAAAGUGGAGGAGCCUGGAGGGAGUCGUGGAGGUACAGUACUUGGAGAAAAUCCCUCCACCAUGAUGACUGGGUGUCUACUGUACAGUCCACCGACCAAUGACGGUGACACGUGCCAGUGGAAGCUUAAUGGCUGCCGGCAGGUGCUCGUGAGGGCCAGAAACACUUAUAAUAUUGACAAGUGACCCACCUGCUGCUUGGCCACCUGGGGACUGCUCACAGACGCCAUGGUGCAAUAGGAGACUACCCGAUCCCGUGCCUCCCGCCCUGCCCCACCCAGACACCAUGGCCCGGCAGCGACACCAUUCCACCUGCUACACGACGCUGGCUGACGCACUCCUGACGUGGCAGUGACAGGAGGCGGAGGGCAGGAGCAAGAGUCGGAUGGUGAAGAAAGGCGUGAUGGCGGAGGUGGUGGCUGUGGAGGGUGUUCCUGCAGGGUACCUCGGCAGGGUCUAGUGUGCAGGUUUGCAGUAAACCUCCCUGAAGGUUCCAGAGCUGCUCAGCAAGUGUCCAGUCCAGGCUGUCACAAGACUGUGUGAUGGUGGACCUUCCAAUGAUACUCACUGAAAACAGCUGUGCACUGCCACUCACAGGAAAUGAUUGAGUUGCCUUGAAGCUGAGAUGAGUUGGUCAGCUAGUGAGUGGCUUCAAUAAAGUGACUGUGAGGUGUUGGCUUCAAUAAAGUGACUGUGAGGUGUUGCCUUCAAUCAAGUGACUGUGAGGUGUUGGCUUCGAUCAAGUGACUGUGAGGUGUUGGCUUCGAUCAAGUGACUGUGAGGUGUUGGCUUCGAUCAAGUGACUGUGAGGUGUUGGGCAUGGUAUUGUGUUAUUGCAAGUGUAACCAUUAAUAAGUGGUACUGUGGAUAGCAAGCGGAAGAGACCUUGGGAGACUUCCGUUAAUGAGGAGCAACAAGCACACCUCACUGGAGUCUUUCAGGAACCAACAGUCAGGGCUGAUGUGAAGGUGUCUGCAGCCAGUGUUUGGUCUCCUCUGUGCCUGGUGGUGGUGCCUCAUUGCAGGGCCUGAUGUGAAGGUGUCUGCAGCCAGUGGUGGUGCCUCAUUGCAGGGCCUGAUGUGAAGGUGUCUGCAGCCAGUGGUGGUGCCUCAUUGCAGGGCUGAUGUGAAGGUGUCUGCAGCCAGUGGUGGGUGUCCUCUGUGCCUGGUGGUGCCUCAUUGCAGGGCCUGAUGUGAAGGUGUCUGCAGCCAGUGGUGGUGCCUCAUUGCAGGGCUGAUGUGAAGGUGUCUGCAGCCAGUGGUGGUGCCUCAUUGCAGGGCCUGACGUGAAUGUGUCUGCAGCCAAUGUUUGGUCUCCUCUGUGCCUGGUGGUGCCUCAUUGCAGGGCUGAUGUGAAGGUGUCUGCAGCCAGUGUUUGGUGUCCUCUCUUCCUGGUGGUGCAGCCUGAUGUGUUGCCUGCUUCAGUGUAAAUCUUGCAAGCCAGAUCUGCCAGGUGUCUCCAGUGUAGUAGUCUAGGGUGCUUUGCUUUGUGUCUUUGGCAAUAAAUAAAUUUGUGAGUAUCAUUCUCAUGUGAAUUAUAUAGUUUGAUAAAAUUACAGAAUGUGCUUGGGUAAACUAAAUUUAUAUAUUGGUGGUAAACAAUUCAUGCAUCCCCAAGUAAAUAAGUAAAAUAAAUAGGACCCAAAACAAUAGAUGCAAUAUAGAUCAUCCUCUGGUCAAAAAAAAAAAAAAGCCAGGA